rnacentral:rRNA from 1 species
UGACGCUCCGGCAGGCCUUCACAUGCAAGCCGAGCGGCAGCGGAAAGUAGCUUGCUACUUUGCCGGCGAGCGGCGGACGGGUGAGUAAUGUCUGGGAAACUGCCUGAUGGAGGGGGAUAACUACUGGAAACGGUAGCUGAUACCGCAUGACGUCGCAAGACCAAAGUGGGGGACCUUCGGGCCUCACGCCAUCGGAUGUGCCCAGAUGGGAUUAGCUAGUAGGUGGGGUAAUGGCUCACCUAGGCGACGAUCCCUAGCUGGUCUGAGAGGAUGACCAGCCACACUGGAACUGAGACACGGUCCAGACUCCUACGGGAGGCAGCAGUGGGGAAUAUUGCACAAUGGGCGCAAGCCUGAUGCAGCCAUGCCGCGUGUGUGAAGAAGGCCUUAGGGUUGUAAAGCACUUUCAGCGAGGAGGAAGGCGUUGUAGUUAAUAGCUUGCACGAUUGACGUUACUCCAGAAGAACACCGGCUACUCCGUGCCACACCGCGGUAAUCCGGAGGGUGCAAGCGUUAUCGGAAUACUGGCGUAAAGCGACGCAGCGGUUGUAAGUAAUGUAAC